rnacentral:rRNA from 1 species
AUCAACGCUGGCGGCGUGCCUCAGACAUGCAAGUCGAACGAUUAAAGCUCUCUUCGGAGAGUGCAUAGAGUGGCGCACGGGUGAGUAACACGUAAGUAAUCUACCUUCGAGUGGGGAAUAACGUCCGGAAACGGACGCUAAUACCGCAUAAUGCAGCGGCAUCGCAAGAUGACAGUUGUUAAAGGAGCAAUUCGCUUGAAGAGGAGCUUGCGGCAGAUUAGCUAGUUGGUAAGGUAAUGGCUUACCAAGGCUACGAUCUGUAACCGGUCUAAGAGGACGGUCGGUCACACUGACACUGAAUAACGGGUCAGACUCCUACGGGAGGCAGCAGUCGGG